rnacentral:rRNA from 1 species
CGGCAACAGCUCAAAUUUGAAAUCUGGCCUUCGGGUCCGAGUUGUAAUUUGCAGAGGAUGCUUCCGGCGCGGCGCCUUCCAAGUCCCCUGGAACGGGGCGCCAUAGAGGGUGAGAAUCCCGUAUGUGACUGGGUGCCUUCGCCUAUGUGAAGCUCUUUCGAC